rnacentral:hammerhead_ribozyme from 1 species
ACCUAGAUGACGAGUACCAAACAGGACGAAACGCGCGUCUUGGAU